CUCAAUAAUUGAAACUGCCGAUGAAGAAAUUCAUUAGAAAUGAGAUACUAAGAGCACUAUACAAAACAUCUGAAAGCACCAGGCACACCUGGCUACGAAGGCAUUACUGAUGAGGUGCUCAAAAAGCUUCAUUUAUGAUUCUUAAACUUUGUCACUCCCCGGCUUAACGCCUGUUUAACAAAAAGUGUUUUCUCGGCCCAAUGGAAAGUAGCUGAAAUCAUCUUUUGAAACCAAGGAAGCUAUGAGAAGAUGUGAAGUCCGAUCGCUCCCUUAGUCUUCUUCUCGGCAGGAGGCGCGACCGCAAUUAGAAAAUUUAACAAAAUUUUUAUUUAUACUUAUUUAAAUUAAUUUCAUUUCUAAUUUCUGGAAGUUGGUCGAGCUAUAACGUGAACCCCUGGCCUACCGAAUGUCAGUAAGCAUAGCUAAGUCAAGCAGAACGGUUGGUUGGAACGCCUCAAAAGUGGUGAUUUUAACGUCGAAGACAAUGAGCGACCUUGGCCUAACCUAAAAAGUUCGAAGAUGAGGAAUUGGUGGCUUGAAUGAGUCAAAAUCUGUGCCAAACACAAACUGAAUCGCUCGUGAAUCAUUGGAAGUGGCUCAGCAUACAAUUUUCGUGGGGUUAAAACAAUCUGGAUUUAUUCAAAAACAAGAAAAUAGGGUGCCGUUCGAGUUGAAACCGUUAGUUGACGUAACUGCUAUUUGAAAGAUCUCAAAGGUAGGUGAUUUUGCGUCGGAUUGUGACUGGAGCUGAGAAGAGGAUAUACUACGAUAACCCCACGAAGAACAUUUACUAUGUCUAGCCUGGUGAUCUUUUAAGUAUUAUGCUCUGUACAUGGUGACACCAGAUUGGUGUAGUGUACCAAGAGCUGCUAAAACCAGGCAAAACUGUUUGCAGCGAAACGUUAAUUAAUGCAUUUGAGUCGCGAAUUGUGUGAAAAACGACCAGAAACCACCGAACGACAUGAUAGGGUUAUUUCGCAACAUCACAACGUGCGGCUCCGAGUGACUGUAAGUGUCGAAGACUUCGUGUAAAAGCUGAAAUGAAUGGUCAUACUCCAACCGCCGUAUUCUUCAGACCUUACUUCUUCCGAAUGCGUUACGGGUACGGAAGAUAUCGCAAAAUGGCUAAAUAAUUGUUUUGAGGACAGAGAUGAUUUUCGAAAAGCACCUGACAGAUGGGGAAAAGUAAUCAUUCCCGAUUAACAAUACUUUGAGUGAUGAAUUUUCAACUUUUUUCUUACUAAAAAUUACUUUUUUGAACAUAAGAAAAUGGACCGAAUCAAUUUUGACUCCCAAUAGACUCGCGGCAACAAUAACCGAGAGCCAUCAAUCGUUCGGAGGCGACUUAGCAUGCACUGUGGAUCCCUUCAUUUAUUGCAAAACCAUCAAGACGCAAACCAACAGCUGGAGGAGAAUCUCGGCCGUAAAUCGUGAAACGAGCGGCUAAAAUGGAGACGAGAAAAUGCAACUUAGCUGAAGAUAGGUUUAACGAAAUUCCAACAACAACGCAAACAGAAAUUCGCCAUGUAAUUCUCUACCGGUUUCGACUUUAUUUACAGUCAAUACAAAUUUGCAGUGAAUGCCAAUUUGCAUAUUGGAUGAUUGCACCGUCUUUAAAGACUAUUUCCAAGUGGUUCCGAAGCUUGCAGACCGAACAUAUUUCCGUAGUGGACGCGCGACGAGUAGGUCAAUCAAAAUCUUACGCUGCUGACGUCACUGUAGCACUGGGGAAGUCCAAAAUUGUCCAACAUCCACGAUUGACACUUGAAAUGAUUGCUAAUGAAUUGGGCUUCAAUGUUAUGGCUGUAACCCGAAUAUUAUGUAAUCAUCUGGGAUAGACGAAGUAAUCUGCUCGAUGGGUACCACGAAUGUUAAAUGAGACCCG
rnacentral:misc_RNA from 1 species